rnacentral:rRNA from 1 species
AGUGAACGCUGGCGGUAGGCCUAACACAUGCAAGUCGAACGGCAGCACAGUAAGAGCUUGCUCUUACGGGUGGCGAGUGGCGGACGGGUGAGGAAUACAUCGGAAUCUACUUUUUCGUGGGGGAUAACGUAGGGAAACUUACGCUAAUACCGCAUACGACCUACGGGUGAAAGCAGGGGAUCUUCGGACCUUGCGCGAUUGAAUGAGCCGAUGUCGGAUUAGCUAGUUGGCGGGGUAAAGGCCCACCAAGGCGACGAUCCGUAGCUGGUCUGAGAGGAUGAUCAGCCACACUGGAACUGAGACACGGUCCAGACUCCUACGGGAGGCAGCAGUGGGGAAUCUUGGACAAUGGGCGCAAGCCUGACCCAGCCAUACCGCGUGGGUGAAGAAGGCCUUCGGGUUGUAAAGCCCUUUUGUUGGGAAAGAAAAGCAGUAGGUUAAUACCCCGCUGUUCUGACGGUACCCAAAGAAUAAGCACCGGCUAACUUCGUG